AGUGAACGCUGGCGGCAGGCCUAACACAUGCAAGUCGAGCGGCAGCGCGGGGGCAACCCUGGCGGCGAGCGGCGGACGGGUGAGGAAUUCGUCGGAAUCUGCCUUUUUGUGGGGGAUAACGUAGUGAAACUUACGCUAAUACCGCAUACGUCCUACGGGAGAAAGUGGGGGACCGCAAGGCCUCACGCAGAGAGAUGAGCCGACGACCGAUUAGCUAGUUGGUGGGGUAAAGGCCCACCAAGGCGACGAUCGGUAGCUGGUCUGAGAGGAUGAUCAGCCACAUUGGGACUGAGACACGGCCCAGACUCCUGCGGGAGGCCGCAGUGGGGAAUAUUGGACAAUGGGCGCAAGCCUGAUCCAGCGAUGCCGAGUGUGUGAAGAAGGCCUUCGGGUUGUAAAGCACUUUUGUCCGGAAAGAAAUCCCUGGAGCUAAUACCUUCGGGGGAUGACGGUACCGGAAGAAUAAGCACCGGCUAACUUCGUG
rnacentral:rRNA from 1 species